AUUUUCUAUCUUCUGCAUUUGCACAAACUCCAUAUACAUUUAUUCACACACACAAGCCACACAAGCAAGAAACUUGGCGUCUCAAGUCGCACAAGCGCAGCAGCUGAUGCGAAUGCUCGCUGACCUUGACCCUCAAUCAGAGCGAGAGAGCGCAGCAGACGACUGACGGCUGAACGCGAUGCGCAGGCGAACAAAAAAAACUUGUUGCCAAGUGCAGCCAAAGAAGACAGAAGACGACGCAGUCAAGUUGAAGUUUUGCAAGUCCCCCCAGCUCCCCUCUUACUUACACACACACACAGAGUGCAGUCGUCGCCAGCUCACACACACACAGAGACAUGCUGGCAAGUUUUCACCAUUAGCAGCGCACGGCGACGACUGUACUUUGGUUGAAGAAACAGCACACACACACACACAAAUGCACACGCAAGUAUGUAUGUAUAUGUGCUGCCUUAUGCCCACGUGUAUGUGUAUCUUGUAGGUAUCGUUGCACAAGGAAGCAAGGCAAAGAAAGCGGCGCACUAAUACAAAUACAAAUACACAGCACAUACCCUAGAAACAAUGGCUGAAUUUUGCUUUAUGUGGCUGACUCAACAACAAGAGCUAGAGCGAGAGAGAGGCAG